rnacentral:lncRNA from 10 species
UCACUGGGCCUUGCAUCCAAGUGAUGAAAUGUGUCUCUCCUCUUCUGCCUGCACCUUGCCAACAGAGAAAAUUGUGACAUAUUACUGAGCCUAGCAACCAGGUGAUGUGUCUCUCCUGCCUGGGCCUGGCUGACAGAAAGCAGUGUGAUAUAUUCCCGGGCCCAGCAAACAGAAAGCAUUGUGACAUAUUGCUGAACCCAGCACCAAGGUGAUGUGAGUUGGUAUGCCUGGACCCUGCUAACAAGAGGCAUUGUGACAUACUUCUGGGACCAUCAUCUAUUUGAUGUGACUCUCCUUUUACCUGGGCUUCUGUUGUAAAAGAGAUUGUGACAUAACUCUGGGCCUAACAGCUAGACUUGUCUGCAGCGCAGAUUGCUACAUAUUGCUUGGCCCAGCUCCUAUGUGAUGUGACUCUCCUGUCAUACCUGAGUGCUCCCCACUGCGAUGGGCAACAGACCAACUUCAGCUUGCAACCCUCUGGAGUGCAUUCUGUAACACUGGAACUUCUUUAACCUCCGGACUUUGAAGAAGAAAGCAACCAUUUUCUUUUGCACAAGGGCAUGACAUUUAUACUACACCUUUGCAGGUAGUGUAAGAUCAACCCAGCUUUUUAAAAAGUCAUAUCAGGCAGGCUUAUAGAAAAUGAUUCACCAGAAUUAGAAAAGCAAGUUCCAGGGAAGCCAUUUGAGAAUCCCCCUUAUUUAGAGCCAUCUCAAGUUCUCUUAUUACAAGACCUUAGCCAAAUAAAGGAAGACUUAGGCUGAUUUUCUGACAACCCCCAAUAGGUAUAUAGAAGCUUUCCAAAAUUUGACUCAGGUGUUUCACCUCACAUAGAAGGAUGUUGUGCUGCUCCUAAACCAAACCCUAACUGCAGCUGAAAAGCAGGCAGCU